CAAACUAAAACCUAUAAAAUUUGGCAGUUAUAAUAUACUAGAGAAACUCGCUUCAUAAUCGUAAUUACCCGCUAAAUUUCACUUAUUUUAAAAAUUUUUAUACCGCCGUUACAGAAUUAAUUUAAUAAUACAAAUCAAACUAUAAACACAUAAAAAAUCAGGUCAAGGUGAAAUCAAUAAAAAAGAAGAAGUAAGUUACAUUAAAAACUAUUUAAGGAAAAAAAACCAAAAUAAUUUAGAAAGAGAAUCUAUAAUCACAUAUUAAUUAAAAUUUAAU
rnacentral:rRNA from 1 species